rnacentral:sRNA from 1 species
ACAAAAAAGAAGAGAAAAAUGGAGAAUUCU